CCUACGGGAGGCAGCAGUGGGGAAUAUUGGACAAUGGGGGGAACCCUGAUCCAGCCAUGCCGCGUGUGUGAAGAAGGCCCUCGGGUUGUAAAGCACUUUCAGUGAGGAAGAACGCCUGGUGGUUAAUACCCAUCAGGAAAGACAUCACUCACAGAAGAAGCACCGGCUAACUCCGUGCCAACAGCCGCGGUAAUACGGAGGGUGCGAGCGUUAAUCGGAAUUACUGGGCGUAAAGCGCGCGUAGGUGGCUUGAUAAGCCGGUUGUGAAAGCCCCGGGCUCAACCUGGGAACGGCAUCCGGAACUGUCAAGCUAGAGUGCAGGAGAGGAAGGUAGAAUUCCCGGUGUAGCGGUGAAAUGCGUAGAGAUCGGGAGGAAUACCAGUGGCGAAGGCGGCCUUCUGGACUGACACUGACACUGAGGUGCGAAAGCGUGGGUAGCAAACAGGAUUAGAUACCCUUGUAGUC
rnacentral:rRNA from 1 species